rnacentral:rRNA from 1 species
CCUACGGGGGGCAGCAGUGAGGAAUAUUGGUCAAUGGGCGAGAGCCUGAACCAGCCAAGUAGCGUGAAGGAUGACUGCCCUAUGGGUUGUAAACUUCUUUUAUAAAGGAAUAAAGUGAGGCACGUGUGCCCUUUUGACUGUACCUUAUGAAUAAGGAUCGGCUAACUCCGUGCCAGCAGCCGCGGUAAUACGGAGGAUCCGAGCGUUAACCGGAUUUAUUGGGUUUAAAGGGAGCGUAGUUGGGUUGUUAAGUCAGUUGUGAAAGUUUGCGGCUCAACCGUAGAAUUGCAUUUGAUACUGGCAGUCUUGAGUACAGUUGAGGUAGGCGGAAUGCGUGGUGUAGCGGUGAAAUGCUUAGAUAUCACGAAGAACUCCGAUUGCGAAGGCAGCUUACU